rnacentral:rRNA from 1 species
UACGUAGGUGGCAAGCGUUGUCCGGAUUUAUUGGGUUUAAAGGGUGCGUAGGCGGCUUAUUAAGUCAGUGGUGAAAGACGGUAGCUUAACUAUCGAGGUGCCAUUGAUACUGAUGAGCUUGAGUACUGAUGAGGUAGGCGGAAUGGACGGUGUAGCGGUGAAAUGCAUAGAUAUCGUCCAGAACACCGAUAGCGAAGGCAGCUUACGAAGGAGUAAUUGACGGUGAGGCACGAAAGUGUGGGGAUCAAACAGG